rnacentral:snoRNA from 1 species
CCCCUCUCAGGGUCACACCUGGAGAGUUUCCAGGACUCUACCAGUCUCAGCUUUGGGAGGGAGAGUCAAGCAGAGGCCUAUCCAUUCCAUUCCUAGCUUGGCCAGUGGCUAGCGAGUGGAAGGCAUUCUGCUACAAGU